UCGCACAAAUUCUAACCUUAACUGUAUAAUAAGUGAAUUAAAAUAUUAAAUCUAAAACGAAUACAAUCAUUUUGCUCUUAAGGAUCGCACUGGCUUAACGGUGGCAAUCAUUCGGAGGCAAAUGGGCAGGCCCGAAAAGAAUCCCCUAAAGCCCAAACACAUUUAGAUCAGUCCAUCGGCAGCUACUGAUAAUGUCGGCGAGUUGAAUUCAUCGAUUUUCACACACAAAAUCAACAUCAAAAACGUCACGACAAUUCAGCGUGAACAAUCUCUAUCCGCAGCGAAAGUGUUUGUGUAUCAAGAGAUCUCUGCGUUGUGGACAAUGCGAACACAAUGUCAUCAAGCCGGAGUACCAUCCAGGAUCGAUCAAGUAUCGCAUGCAAUUGUUUGCUAACUACCAUGUGCCAGACGUUCUGCUUGUGCGUUGUGAAAAGCCACUGAAAUCUGGCACGUCCACUGAAUUGAUCCUCAAGCUAACUAACCCAACGAUGUACGAUGUGACCACAACCAUUAUGAAACUGCCACCCAAGGAAGAGGAACGGCGAAUGAUCGACUUGGAAUAAAAGUUCAACGGAAGGAACCAAAAUUCACCACUUGGAGAAAGUCCAAUAAAGUAACAAUCAAAUUGAACUUAACACCUGAAGAAGGACUAAGACCAGGCGAUGAUGUUACCCUUAGUUUCUUGAUGAAAUAUAAUUUUGUGAAUACAUACACACGCCCGAAAAGAAAUAACGUCAAAACACGCAUUAUCGUCGAAAGUUUUUGUAAAAGUUGGUCAAAUUGAAGCCUAGAUUUAUUUCUAUGUACAAUCUAGAAAAUAAUCUUUUUUGCAAACAACUU